rnacentral:rRNA from 1 species
GACGAACCACACAAACGUUAUUCGGAAUUACUGGGCUUAAAGGGUGCGUAGGCUGCGCAGAAAGUUGGGUGUGAAAUUCCUCGGCUCAACCGAGGAACUGCGCCCAAAACUACUGUGCUCGAGGAAGACAGAGGUGAGCGGAACUUAGGGUGGAGCGGUGAAAUGCGUUGAUAUCCUAAGGAACACCCGUGGCGAAAGCGGCUCACUGGGUCUUUUCUGACGCUGAGGCACGAAAGCUAGGGUAGCGAACGGG